GACGAACCGUGCGAACGUUGUUCGGAUUCACUGGGCUUAAAGGGCGCGUAGGCGGGCGGUCAAGUCAGGGGUGAAAUCUUUCGGCUCAACCGGAAAAGUGCCUUUGAUACUGGCCGUCUCGAGGGAGGUAGGGGCAUGCGGAACUUCCGGUGGAGCGGUGAAAUGCGUAGAUAUCGGAAGGAACGCCGGUGGCGAAAGCGGCGUGCUGGACCUCUUCUGACGCUGAUGCGCGAAAGCCAGGGGAGCAAACGGG
rnacentral:rRNA from 1 species